GACGAACGCUGGCGGCGUGCCUAAUACAUGCAAGUCGAACGCUUCUUCCCUCCCGAGUGCUUGCACUCAAUUGGAAAGAGGAGUGGCGGACGGGGGAGUAACACGUGGGUAACCUAUCCAUCAGCGGGGGAUAACACUUGGAAACAGGUGCUAAUAUCGCAUAACAGUUUAUGCCGCAUGGCAUAAGAGUGAAAGGCGCUCUCGGGUGUCGCUGAUGGAUGGAUCAGCGGUGCAUUAGCUAGUUGGUGAGGUAACGGCUCACCAAGGCAACGAUGCGUAGCCGACCUGAGAGGGUGAUCGGCCACACUGGGACUGAGACACGGCCCAGACUCCUACGGGAGGCAGCAGUAGGGAAUCUUCGGCAAUGGGCGAAAGUCUGACCGAGCAACGCCGCGUGAGUGAAGAAGGUUUUCGGAUCGUAAAACUCUGUUGUUAGGGAAGAACAAGGACGUUAGUAACUGAACGUCCCCUGACGGUAUCUAACCAGAAAGCCACGGCUAACUACGUG
rnacentral:rRNA from 1 species